rnacentral:rRNA from 1 species
AUUGAACGCUGGCUGCAGGCCUAACACAUGCAAGUCGAGCGAGCGGCGGACGGGUGAGUAAUGUCUGGGGAACUGCCUGAUAGAGGGGGAUAACUACUGGAAACGGUAGCUAAUACCGCAUACCAUCGGAUGUACCCAUAUGGGAUUAGCUAGUAGGUGGGGUAACGGCUCACCUAGGCGACGAUCCCUAGCUGGUCUGAGAGGAUGACCAGCAACGCUGGAACUGAGACACGGCCCAGACUCCUACGGGAGGCAGCAGUGGGGAAUAUUGCACAAUGGGCGCAAGCCUGAUGCAGACAUGCCGCGUGUAUGAAGAAGGCCUUAGGGUUGUAAAGUACUUUCAGCGGGGAGGCGUUACCCGCAGAAGAAGCACCGGCUAACUCCGUGCCAGCGGCCGCGGUAAUAC